rnacentral:sRNA from 1 species
UCCUCCGUCCUCGCCGCAGUCCCGUCCAAGGUCAUUUACUCUCUCUCUCUCUCUCUCUCUCUCUCUUUCUGUU